GUGGGGAAUAUUGGACAAUGGGCGAAAGCCUGAUCCAGCAAUGCCGCGUGAGUGAUGAAGGCCCUAGGGUUGUAAAGCUCUUUUACCAGGGAUGAUAAUGACAGUACCUGGAGAAUAAGCUCCGGCUAACUCCGUGCCAGCAGCCGCGGUAAUACGGAGGGAGCUAGCGUUGUUCGGAAUUACUGGGCGUAAAGCGCGCGUAGGCGGUUUUUUAAGUCAGAGGUGAAAGCCCGGGGCUCAACCCCGGAAUUGCCUUUGAAACUGGAAAACUUGAAUCUUGGAGAGGUCAGUGGAAUUCCGAGUGUAGAGGUGAAAUUCGUAGAUAUUCGGAAGAACACCAGUGGCGAAGGCGACUGACUGGACAAGUAUUGACGCUGAGGUGCGAAAGCGUGGGGAGCAAACAGGAUUAGAAACCCGAGUAGUCC
rnacentral:rRNA from 1 species